rnacentral:rRNA from 1 species
UACGUAGGUGGCAAUCGUUGUCCGGAUUUACUGGGCGUAAAGGAUGCGUAGGCGGAUAUUUAAGUGAGAUGUGAAAUACCCGGGCUCAACUUGGGUGCUGCAUUUCAAACUGGAUAUCUAGAGUGCAGGAGAGGAAAGUGGAAUUCCUAGUGUAGCGGUGAAAUGCGUAGAGAUUAGGAAGAACAUCAGUGGCGAAGGCGACUUUCUGGACUGUAACUGACGCUGAGGCAUGAAAGCGUGGGGAGAAAACAGG